rnacentral:lncRNA from 1 species
UGGGAGGGAUACUGAGGCUACUGGGAGGGUUACUGGGGGCACUGGGGGGCACUGGGGAUACUGGGAGCGGCAUUGGGAAGGGCAUUGGGGAUGCUGGGAGGCACUGGGAGGAGCUGGGGAUGCUGGGAGGGGCAUCGGGGUUACUGGGAAUAUUGGGGAAUACCGGGGGGGCACUGGGGGUACUGGGAGGCACUAGGGGGAUACUGGGAGGUACUGGGAAGUGCUGGGAAGUACUGGGAAGUGCUGGGAGGGGUGCUGGGAGGCACUGGGAAGACACUGGGGGAGCACUGGGCAUACUGGUGGCAUACUGGUGCCUUACUGGUGUUACUGGUUCCCAGGCUACGUGCGGGUGCUGCUGGCGGCCGCCGCCUUCGUGCUGAUGCCGCAGGAGCCGGGCCCGGCGGCCGCCUGUUACCUGCUCAGCGCCCUCCUGGACGCCGUGGACGGGCUGGCGGCCAGGAUGCUGGGGCAGGGUUCCCAGCUGGGCGCCAUGCUGGACAUGCUGCCCCUCCCCCUCCUGGAGUCCCCUCCCCCUUCUAUAAGCCCCUCCCCCUCUGACAAGCCCCGCCCCCUUU